rnacentral:rRNA from 1 species
UACGUAGGGUGCAAGCGUUAUCCGGAAUUAUUGGGCGUAAAGAGCUCGUAGGCGGUCUGUCGCGUCUGCUGUGAAAACUGGGGGCUCAACCCCCAGCCUGCAGUGGGUACGGGCAGACUAGAGUGCGGUAGGGGAGAUUGGAAUUCCUGGUGUAGCGGUGGAAUGCGCAGAUAUCAGGAGGAACACCGGUGGCGAAGGCGGGUCUCUGGGCAGUAACUGACGCUGAGGAGCGAAAGCGUGGGGAGCGAACAGG